GGGGGCGACUUGGCUUCGACGUGGGUUGCAAAACAGAGCAGGGCAUACCGAGGACCAGUUACCUCGUAAAUACAUCUGGAAACCAAUAGUCGCAAACGACGAAAACUACGCUCUAGCCGCUUAAAUCCGGCUGGACUCCGCACCGGUGGGCCUCAACGCCGGGUCUGGCAACAGACAGCGGAGCCAUUAACGAGGAUCGCGCCCGGUAGGGUUACUUUACAGGGCGUUAAACAAUAGGUGACUCGCCUGCCAUCAGUCCGCCGGUUGACGGAUGCCAGGUUAAAUUAAAAAACAUGGCUAAGUAUGUAGAACUGCCUGUAGAGGGCUUGCGGACGCGGGUUCAAUUCCCGCCGCCUCCACCA
rnacentral:tmRNA from 21 species